CCGUGAGGUGGAGCGAAUCCUUUCAAAGCCGGUCUCAGUUCGGAUCGGGGUCUGCAACUCGACCCCGUGAAGUCGGAGUCGCUAGUAAUCGCAGAUCAGCAACGCUGCGGUGAAUACGUUCCCGGGCCUUGUACACACCGCCCGUCACGUCAUGAAAGUCGGUAACACCCGAAGCCGGUGGCCUAACCCUUGUGGAGGGAGCCGUCGAAGGUGGGAUCGGCGAUUGGGACGAAGUCGUAACAAGGUAGCCGUACCGGAAGGUGCGGCUGGAUCACCUCCUUUCUAAGGAG
rnacentral:rRNA from 1 species